CCGAAGGCUGGUCUCACAACAAUGCCCAGUGACUGCCAUGAUUUGGCGGCUUUCUAGGCCCGCCUUGGAUAGAUGAUGGACAGUGAUUUGUGUAUGGAGGAAGCCCCACCUAAGAUGACGAAAUUCAUCAAGAAACUUUGUUCAAGGUUCAUGACACCAGCAGCUCUACGAGAAGUUCAUGAGUCCACUUACUAGGACCCAUUGCACCAACUGCCAGAUGGAUGCUUCGCAUUUGCUCUGCAUGUCCACCUGGGAACUUUCCGU